CGCUGCAUGGACAUGUGUGAUAAGAGAUGACAUUUAGCAGAAAUCUUUAUUGUGGGUCAUCUCCACCCAAUCAUUAUGAAAUACACAGUUAAUACACAAAGAGGAAACUGCAGAAAUGGGGGGAAUCCUGUUUAAUCCAAUAAGUAAGGAUAGGUUUUGGCCUGUAGCCAGUAAAGCCUUGAGAGAUCUUUGACAUUCAUCCCUAUGACUAAAUUCCGAAGAAUUUGCACAGCUGAUCACUAUACUAAGUGUUAUGACCUGGGUUUGGAGUCCCUUUAUCCACCAGCAUUCGCAUUAAAGCAGAUCUUGGUUAGUUACAGCAAGGAAAGAGACAACCAGCUUCUAUCUUGGUACAAACAGCAACAACAUUUAUUAUCAAACAGUAACUGCCGGGCAGAUAUCUCAGCAUGGGGGGGAGGCUCUGCAUCUUGUGUCAUGUGACACAUUAAAGUCUCUUUUUGUCACAUGGCCUUUCCUUAGUGAGUGUGAAAUCAAACUUUAAAACGUCUCUGCCAAAGGAGUGUAUGGUGUUUCACAAAAGGGAUACUUUAGGACAGUGUCAUCAACAGUGAAACACAUCCACCUCACUCUGGUUACAUGUAUCGCAUUUACUGUCUGGGGACAGUCCUGCUGUAAAAUGUAAUAGGGGAGUAAAGUAGGCCCUAUUUAAUAUUCUGAAUGACCGCUCUCAGUAAGAGGCAAAAGGGGACAGGUGUUAGUGGUCUGUGUGGCCAGUAUGUUGGCCAUUGAGGUAAGUUACGUAAAAACCUGGAUCCAAGCUGCCAGGCCCCUCCGCUGAGAGGUAUAGACAUUAACCAGUCUGAAAAUGUGGUAUUUAGUAGCAGUAAAGUGAGAGGCUGUUUGUAUGAUGAAAGGUAGAAGUGUCCAAUCGUUUGGUAAAAUUGGAAGAUGUAAGAGAGGGGAGGACUCCUCUCAAAUAAGAGAAUCGUUUUAUGUAAUAUAAAGGAUGGAAAUUAUGGAAUUGGACUUAUGGACAAAGAGCAAUAUAUGUAUAC